rnacentral:rRNA from 1 species
GCUCAUGCACGAAAGCGCGGGUAUCGAACAGGAUUAGAUACCCUGGUAGUCCGCGCGGUAAACGAUGAUCACUCGCUGUACGGGUAAAGAUCCGUGUGGCCAAGCGAAAGCGAUAAGUGAUCCACCUGGGGAGUACGGCGGCAACGCUGAAACUCAAAGGAAUUGACGGGGGCCCGCACAAGCGGAGGAACAUGUGGUUUAAUUCGAUGAUACGCGAGGAACCUUACCCGGGCUCAAACGCGCGGUGAAGCCGACGAAAGUUGGUGGCCCAGCAAUGGGAGCCGCGCGAGGUGCUGCAUGGUUGUCGUCAGCUCGUGCCGUGAGGUGUUGGCUUAAGUGCCAUAACGAGCGCAACCCCUGUCCACAGUUGCCAGCGGUUCAAGCCGGGGACUCUGUGGAGACUGCCGCCGCAAGGUGCGAGGAAGGCGGGGAUGACGUCAAAUCAGCACGGCCCUUACGUCCGGGGCGACACACGUGUUACAAUGGCCGGUACAGCGGGCAGCCACCCUGCGAAGGGGCGCGAAUCCCGAAAGCCGGUCUUAGUUCGGACUGGAGUCUGGAACCCGACUCCACGAAGCCGGAUUCGCUAGUAAUCGCGCA